AUUAUGCGGGAUUUCAUUAGCAUAUCCCGGUUUCGAUGUAUUUUCUGCUUGCGAAACGUUUUGUAGACGAUGUGGCAAGCGUGUUCUCGACAGCGUGAUUUUUAAAGAUGCACCAGCAACUUAACCAAAUAAAUGUAAAUAGUUCUGCAGACGACGUAUUUUCUUCCUGUUUGUCCCCACCGCCUGCUUCUGCAUAAGUGUCAACCGGAAAUGAUAUCUGUAAUGAUACCUGAGGAAAAAAGCAAGCUAACGAAAGACAGUGUUUUUAACAUUAUAUGGUACUUUGAGGAAUCAUCAGCGAUUUACGGUGUCACAGGGAACUAGAUAUGAACAGUAACUAGAUAUUUUUAUAAAGUUAAAGAUGUCACGUGAAAAUAGAUUUUAUACAAUUAAUUCUGUAAGUCAAAGAAAAAUUCGAAAGAUAGAAGUUGAUGUAAUUAGCGAAGCAUUAAAUACAUCAUGUAAUAAUGUAACUGACGUGUCAUCAGUAUCUAAUGAAUCUCAU
rnacentral:lncRNA from 13 species